AUUGAACGCUGGCGGCAUGCUUUACACAUGCAAGUCGAACGGUAACAGCACUUCGGUGGCUGACGAGUGGCGAACGGGUGAGUAAUGUAUCGGAACGUGCCCAGUAGUGGGGGGAUAACUACUCGAAAGAGUGGCUAAUACCGCAUGAGAUCUCUGGAUGAAAGCGGGGGACCGUAAGGCCUCGCGCUACUGGAGCGGCCGAUAUCAGAUUAGGUUGUUGGUGGGGUAAAGGCCUACCAAGCCUGCGAUCUGUAGCUGGUCUGAGAGGACGACCAGCCACACUGGGACUGAGACACGGCCCAGACUCCUACGGGAGGCAGCAGUGGGGAAUUUUGGACAAUGGACGCAAGUCUGAUCCAGCAAUGCCGCGUGCAGGACGAAGGCCUUCGGGUUGUAAACUGCUUUUGUACGGAACGAAAAGCCUUCUUCUAAUACAGGAGGGUCAUGACGGUACCGUAAGAAUAAGCACCGGCUAACUACGUG
rnacentral:rRNA from 1 species